GUAGACAUAGUUUAUAAAAACACUAGGCUGUGACCCUAGAAAAAGAAAUCAUAAAUUUCUUGUUUAUC
rnacentral:tRNA from 1 species